rnacentral:rRNA from 1 species
UAUUUUCCUUUUGUGCCAGCAGCCGCGGUAAUACGUAGGGGGCAAGCGUUAUCCGGAAUUACUGGGUGUAAAGGGUGCGUAGGUGGUAUGGCAAGUCAGAAGUGAAAACCCAGGGCUUAACUCUGGGACUGCUUUUGAAACUGUCAGACUGGAGUGCAGGAGAGGUAAGCGGAAUUCCUAGUGUAGCGGUGAAAUGCGUAGAUAUUAGGAGGAACAUCAGUGGCGAAGGCGGCUUACUGGACUGAAACUGACACUGAGGCACGAAAGCGUGGGGAGCAAACAGG